CCUACGGGGGGCUGCAGUGGGGAAUAUUGGACAAUGGGGGCAACCCUGAUCCAGCCAUGCCGCGUGUGUGAAGAAGGCCCUCGGGUUGUAAAGCACUUUCAGUGAGGAAGAACGCCUGGUGGUUAAUACCCAUCAGGAAAGACAUCACUCACAGAAGAAGCACCGGCUAACUCCGUGCCAGCAGCCGUGGUAAUACGGAGGGUGCGAGCGUUAAUCGGAAUUACUGGGCGUAAAGCGCGCGUAGGUGGCUUGAUAAGCCGGUUGUGAAAGCCCCGGGCUCAACCUGGGAACGGCAUCCGGAACUGUCAAGCUAGAGUGCAGGAGAGGAAGGUAGAAUUCCCGGUGUAGCGGUGAAAUGCGUAGAGAUCGGGAGGAAUACCAGUGGCGAAGGAGGCCUUCUGGACUAACCCUGACACUGAGGUGCGAAAGCGUGGGUAGCAAACAGGAUUAGAUACCCCGGUAGUC
rnacentral:rRNA from 1 species